UACGAAGGGGGCUAGCGUUGUUCGGAAUUACUGGGCGUAAAGCGCGCGCAGGCGGUCUUUCAAGUCAGUGGUGAAAGCCCGGAGCUCAACUCCGGAAAUGCCAUUGAAACUGUGAGACUUGAGGACGAGAGAGGUGAGUGGAAUUCCCAGUGUAGAGGUGAAAUUCGUAGAUAUUGGGAAGAACACCGGUGGCGAAGGCGGCGACCUGGUCCGAUACUGACGCUGAGGCGCGAAAGCGUGGGGAGCAAACAGG
rnacentral:rRNA from 1 species